rnacentral:rRNA from 1 species
AACGAACGCUGGCGGCAGGCCUAACACAUGCAAGUCGAGCGGGACCUUCGGGUCUAGCGGCGGACGGGUUAGUAACACGUGGGAACGUACCUCUCUCUACGGAAUAGCCUCGGGAAACUGAGCGUAAUACCGUAUACGCCCUUUGGGGGAAAGAUUUAUCGGAGAGAGAUCGGCCCGCGUCUGAUUAGAUAGUUGGUGGGGUAAUGGCCUACCAAGUCUACGAUCAGUAGCUGGUUUGAGAGGAUGAUCAGCAACACUGGGACUGAGACACGGCCCAGACUCCUACGGGAGGCAGCAGUGGGGAAUCUUAGACAAUGGGCGCAAGCCUGAUCUAGCCAUGCCGCGUGAGUGAUGAAGGCCUUAGGGUCGUAAAGCUCUUUCGCUGGGGAAGAUAAUGACUGUACCCAGUAAAGAAACCCCGGCUAACUCCGUGCCAGCCGCCGCGGUAAAAC